AUGAAUAAACCAAAAUGGCCCCCAGAGAAUACUGAAAAGGAGAUCACCAGGACCUGUACAAAUCCUGCCACAUGUGACAGAAACCGGCAUCAGCUAGCAAAUGAUGGCAAAAAUCUUCCAGAGACUGACGAGAAAAAGAAAGAUGAAACAAUCAACUUAGAAUCCAAUGGCCAUUCCUUGCCCCUUCUGGCUUCUAAGGGGGAAGAGCCUAUGAACAUGAGUGCAGCAAAGGCGGGAAAGAAUGAAGAAAACCAAACUGUCCAGGGGGGAAUGAAUGGUGGUGCAGAAUCUCAAAAGGAAAAAGAAUGUAUGAAGAGUAUACAUGAAUGUGAUACUGUAUGUGAGCAGCAGGUUGGAAAGGAGAAAGAUGGGAAAACAGGCAAAGAGGAUGCUGGGGAAGUCAUACCAGUUACUAACCCAGAUGAUGAACCUGUACUGCAGAAUAAUAAAGAGAGUGCUUACAACAAUAACAGCAACAAUAACAACAAUUACUGUGAAACUGCUGUUCUUUAUCAAAAUGCUUAUAAGCAGGAAGCAUCUAUUGGCAAGGUGCACUAUCCUUUAGCAGAACUGAGCCACACAAAGAUCACUGCCUAUGAGCACGUAUCUGAAAGGCUAGAAAGACGCCUUGUAAGUUCACAAGUACUUAGUGUAGCUGACUCUGGAACUAGCAGUCCCACAAAAUUCUUAAACCUUGUAGGUGUUAAAGAGAACAAAGACACAAUUACCCCAGAUAGCCUCAUUCAGCAUCAUAAUAAAGAUGGCAAUGGUCAAAAACCAGGCACCAGCAAAGUUGCCAUUUUAAAAGAAGUCACUUAUACAUUUCCUUUUGACAGUAAAUUACUAGGCACAAGGGGAGGGACUGAAUAUGUCAAAACAUUCAAUGUGACUUCAUCCGAGAGUCUGGAAACUUUUUUAAUACCUUCAAAUGGUGACCGUAAUCUAUUUGACUCUGUAACCUCGAAAACAAAGCUUUUCAGUCCACAUUCAAAAGAUUUUAGAGAUUACGAUCCUAGUAUCCAUCCAGAAGAAGGAAUAAUAGAAAUGUUGCAUGAAGAUGCACAUACAGGCUCAUCUUUGUUCAGUUCAAAUUGUAGAGCUAUUCAGGCCUCUCAAGAAGAAGAGGUAAGCAUGGAACAGCCAACUGUAGGAGAACAGUUUAAAAACAACAGACAAUGUGAUGAAAAUAGAUACGUGUAG
rnacentral:lncRNA from 1 species